GGGGGGGGAGCGAGCGUUGUUCGGAAUUACUGGGCGUAAAGGGCGCGUAGGCGGCCGAGUAAGUCGCGUGUGAAAGGGCCGGGGGCUCAACCCCGAGCGCUGCACGCGAUACUGCCCGGCUAGAGAGAGGUAGAGGCGAGCGGAAUUCCCGGUGUAGCGGUGGAAUGCGUAGAUAUCGGGAAGAACACCUGUGGCGAAGGCGGCUCGCUGGGCCUUUUCUGACGCUGAAGCGCGAAAGCGUGGGGAGCAAACAGGAUUAGAUACCCUGGUAGUCCACGCCGUAAACGUUGGGCACUAGGUGUCGGGAGGCUUGGUCCUCUCGGUGUCGUAGCUAACGCAUUAAGUGCCCCGCCUGGGGAGUACGGUCGCAAAGGCUG
rnacentral:rRNA from 1 species